UACGUAGGGUGCAAGCGUUGUCCGGAAUUAUUGGGUGUAAAGGGCUCGUAGGCGGUUUGUCGCGUCGGGAGUGAAAAUCCAGGGCUUAACUCUGGACUGGCUUUCGAUACGGGCAGACUAGAGGUAUGCAGGGGAGAACGGAAUUCCUGGUGUAGCGGUGAAAUGCGCAGAUAUCAGGAGGAACACCGGUGGCGAAGGCGGUUCUCUGGGCAUUACCUGACGCUGAGGAGCGAAAGUGUGGGGAGCGAACAGG
rnacentral:rRNA from 1 species